rnacentral:lncRNA from 1 species
UGAUUAAUCAAUUGUGGGAGGAAGAGAAGCGACACACAAAAUGAGGUCUUCUCGUUUAAUAGUAUAGAUUCAUAAAACAUAUUUACAAAGCAGUAAUCAUGGCAACAUACAUUGACCCGCCACUACUCACAGAUUGAGAACGGUUCGAACCGGUGCGUCACAUGGUUCGCUCUCUUUCUCUUUGAUCAUAAAAACGAUUUGACCAAUCACAAUAGAAGAAAG